CAGCAUCGCAAAAGGAGGAGAAAAGAACACAAAGAAGGCAAUUAUUACCAUCAGUUACACUUUGUGAUACUGAGCCCAGGACCCGCUUACAUUUCAUCAGACUCUGAAACCACCUGCCGCAAAGAUGAGGGACAAGUUUUCCAUCAACUCCACCUAUAUGCCACACACAUCUACUAAUCUUACAGGAACCCUUUUUCUGGAAAUAACGGAAAAGGCAGAGGCCAAUUUUGUGACCCGGGAAAAACUGCUGUUGCUAGCUGAACACUGGAAACCUACUGCCUGAACAUCCUGUUUUACAACUAGUGUGUUUUGUGAAGGGUUGUGUAUCUGCUGUAUAUGUAUCAGCCGCCCACUGUUAUGCAUCAAAUUGGCUCAACUAUGCAAAGGGCGUAAAGGGACAAUUUUUGUAGAUGGGGAGCAGUUUUUAGCACAGUCCUUUCUCUUAGCGGCUUCCUUGAGGGCUGAGAGAUUUAUACUACUUCGGUGGAUGGAGACCCAAGCAAUGCAGUUCAGUUCCCAACUCCCUCUUCCCCCUACCUCUCCUCCACACCCCUUCAUUCUCUGUCUCUACCCCCACCCCAACCCCACCGCAAACUCUUAGCAAAAUAAACAACUCACCACAGGC